GCCUACACCUGAUCUGUUAAUUACACUGGAAAACAAUUAUUUUUAUAUUUUGCUUUGUUUUAUGGGUUCCUCCUCGACAAGAGACUUCAACAAGGAAAAGGCUACAAAUAAGCUCGCUUUGACUCUCUGUCAUUAUGGGACUGUAGUCCAAAGCUGCAAAAGGACUUUCAAAGAAUCUUAGACUCUCUGAUGUCUGGCAUCCCCAUCCCAUUGUGAUCAGAGCACAUGGAACUCAUUCAAGAGUGGGAGACUAAGGUCAGAAGGGAUCCAGUUUGACCUCCUGCACAGCACAGGCCAUAGAAAUUCUCCAAGUAAUUCCUGCUUCAAGGCCAUAUGUUCGUUUUUUACGAGAAAGGGUUUGUGGCAAUGCAAGGACCUGAUAAUCAGGGGCUCCACUGGACAGCAGCACAAUCAUAGGAGAGUUUCCAGAACUUUUCUGGUCUGUCCAAAAAAGUGCAUUAACCUCUCAAAAACCAUUCACACUUCAGCCUAUGCCUCUGAGUUUCAGUAAUUGCAAACAUUAAAAAAAUAGAUUGAAAACAUCCCCACCUAGUGGCAACGAAUCUGAACACAGCAAGAAUGGCUUCAAAUCUUCCUGGCUCCAAAAACAGCCUU